CCUACGGGCGGCAGCAGUGGGGAAUAUUGGACAAUGGGCGAAAGCCUGAUCCAGCCAUGCCGCGUGUGUGAAGAAGGCCUUCGGGUUGUAAAGCACUUUCAGUGGGGAAGAAAGCCUUGGGGCUAAUACCCUCGAGGAAGGACAUCACCCACAGAAGAAGCACCGGCUAACUCCGUGCCAGCAGCCGCGGUAAUACGGAGGGUGCGAGCGUUAAUCGGAAUUACUGGGCGUAAAGCGCGCGUAGGCGGUCUGAUAAGCCGGUUGUGAAAGCCCCGGGCUCAACCUGGGAACGGCAUCCGGAACUGUCAGGCUAGAGUGCAGGAGAGGAAGGUAGAAUUCCCGGUGUAGCGGUGAAAUGCGUAGAGAUCGGGAGGAAUACCAGUGGCGAAGGCGGCCUUCUGGACUGACACUGACGCUGAGGUGCGAAAGCGUGGGUAGCAAAUAGGAUUAGAUACCCUUGUAGUC
rnacentral:rRNA from 1 species